UUUCUCUCCAUAGUGUCAAUAGGCAAUUACAAAAAUAUAGUUGUACUACUGAAUGCACUCAGUAUUACUUCUUGUGUCUCCUGCAGUCUUAUUGCAAAAUAUCUCAUUGCGCCAACCAUUUGCAUCCCUGGACAGAGCAACUUGUGUGUAAAGUCCAUGUUAGCAGAUCAAGCAUAGCUUUGUUUGCACUUAUUCACUGCUCAUCCAGCACUGCAGUAAGUGGUUUUGCAUAUUAAAUAAGUGCACAGUAACCUUCCUUUACCUCCUCAGAGCCCCACCCCCUCCCACCCAGGCUCAGGAAUCAACACUGUUGCUCAGUCUGAGACACACUGUGAGGAAGCUGCCAGGAGGUUGCUAUAGUAACUGUUCUGCUUUCAAGAGCUAUUUUCCUGGUUUGAGGGGAGAUGGAGAAGGCCAAAAAAAAAAAAAAACCCAACCUGGAGAAAACUAGGCAGCCUCUGACGAGAGUUCAGAUAAAGAAGGUCACAGUAAUUUUCUGGCACUGACUAAAAUAACCAAGCGGAUGUGGGAGUUACAAAGCAACAAAAGAGAAAUAGGUGAAGUAGAAGGGCAAUAAUUAAAUUAUUUGGUAAUGUUCCUAAAUUGGAGCAUUUCAGAUUUAUAUCAGCGCAGAUCAUCUGGAUAAUAUUUUAUGAAUCUUUUCAUUUUUCAUCCUGAGUUACAGUAAUUUAAACACAAAAGGCUAGAUUCUGAGCUCAACUUUGCCAGUUUAAAUCUGGAGUAAUUCCAGCAAUGCCUAUUAAGCUUCCCUGGAUUUGCACUGGUGUAACGGAGAGAAGAAUGUGGCCCAGAAUACCUAAUUUUACGAAAGCAUGGAACAAAGGUGGAGGCAAAAGGCUGUAAUUCUAACAUCUGCAAACCAUUUUCUGAAACGGUCUUUCAACAAUCAAGAGUAUGUUGGAAACAAGGAACAAUCUGUCUCUCUCCGCAGGCUUCAGCCACUUCUGAGUAGUGGGCCUAAAGAGGUGUGACAUCACACACGCUUUACACUUUUCCUGUGUCCAUCGGCUGGAAAGAAAAGUUGUACUUGGAUGGGUGGAUAUAAUAAGACAUGUGGAGAAACCAAAUUAGCAGAGCUGACAGCUGCAGAGGCCACAGGGAAAGGAGCUGCAAUAUUCAAGGCAAGAUGAGAUGAAGUACUGGAAGAGGAUUCCAGCACGGUUAGAGUUGAUGAAAUGGCUUACAGAGUUGCAGGGGUGGUAACAGGCAAAUUUAUAGAUGGAAGAGAUGU